UCAGAAACACAGAAAUUUUCAUUAAAAUUUCAGUUAUCAUGCAGUUGUGGUUUUAGUAGGGAAAGUGUAGGAAUUGCCUUAAGUGCUGAGAAUGCCGAGAAUGCCGAGAAAGGGUGUUGCCUUAAGUGGCGCAACAAUUUUUGCAAGCGAACAACGAGAAAACUGCAAUAAAAAAACAAACAAAGUUUAAGCCAAUUGUCACAUGACAAUACUAAUAUUAAGCAAACAUUUGAAAUACUCAAGWAAAUUCAAGCAUUCGACAUGCGACUCCAUUUUGUAAAAUAAAACAAAGAUGGUCGCGAUAAGGCAGAAUAAAUAACAAUCAAAAGUAAAAAAGACCUAAGUAAUAAAGCCAACAAAAUAUACGAGCAAGGCAUACGCGUACACCACAACUGCAACAAACAAUAAAAGCAAAAUAAUAUAUGAAAUGAAAUAAAAAAUGAAAUAUUGUGACUACUGUUACCGCAAUCGCUUUCGUACAUGACGGCCAACUCUGYUUUGCGCCAUAGCCAGUUCAAGUGACAGCUCGUUAACGAUGACAACAACACGAGAGCAUGACGUCCUACCGCGCCCAACCAAAGCCCUACGUGCCAGUCAGCAACCAACGCACACACAUACACACAUACAUAUGCACGCCAAUAGGUUUGAGAAAUUUAUGUGCUCAGCAAAGCACCACUUCAAAUGGCAACCAACCCCAAAUGCGUAGCUACCAAUGUAAGCUCUGCAAAUACCUGCUUCGUUGCUUCGUGGAUGGUGUACCAUAGUUGUGCCGUUGGUAGGCGUUUACGUACCUACAUAUGUAUGUAUGUUGGCGGCUGGCGGGCGAUCCCCUCAUCCUGCACGACGCGUUGCUUGUGUGUGCGGCAAUAAUUGAAAGAGUUUAUUGCUGUCACAAAGCACUAACGGACUUAUUACAUUAUGGAAUUAUGGCAUUUCUGUUAUAAAUUCUUUAAAAAAAAAAUCGGCAAAUGGAAUUUUCUUUAGAAUUAUUGCGGAAAUAACAUACGAGUACGUGGGCAAUGGAAUCGGGGUGGAAUUAACCAAAUUCUAGGAAAGCAAAACAUGAAAGAGGCAAUCGCCAGCUUACCUGUAUAGUGUCCUUCUUCAUGUUCAAGGGCCGCUUCACGCUAUGCAAUUUGAAGUACAGUCCGCAGGCAUUGCAAACGGGCUCACCGCUGGGAUUGCGGCGCCAGAGCGAGGUGUGUGUUGUGAGACAGUUCGAGCAGGAAAGACCAACACGACGGGAUGCACUCUAAAUAUGAAAAGUGAAAUUAGUAA